rnacentral:rRNA from 1 species
AUCCCGGCAACCAUGACAGAGGGGAAACGCCCGUUCCCAUUCCGAACACGGAAGCUAAGCCCUCCGGUGCCGAUGGUACUGCCAGGGGUGCCUGGUGGGAGAGUAGGAAGUUGCCGGGUUU